UACGGAGGGUGCAAGCGUUAUCCGGAUUCACUGGGUUUAAAGGGUGCGUAGGUGGGCAGGUAAGUCAGUGGUGAAAUCCUGUAGCUUAACUACAGAACUGCCAUUGAUACUAUUUGUCUUGAAUACCCUGGAGGUGAGCGGAAUAUGUCAUGUAGCGGUGAAAUGCUUAGAUAUGACAUAGAACACCCAUUGCGAAGGCAGCUCACUACGGGAAUAUUGACGCUGAGGCACGAAAGCGUGGGGAUCAAACAGG
rnacentral:rRNA from 1 species